AGUACUCUUGUCCAUCUGUUCUCUGUUGUGUGAUCCCAAUCCAGAUGAUCCUUUAGUGCCUGAGAUUGCUCGGAUCUACAAAACAGAUAGAGAAAAGUACAACAGAAUAGCUCGGGAAUGGACUCAGAAGUAUGCGAUGUAAUUAAAGAAAUUAUUGGAUAACCUCUACAAAUAAAGAUAGGGGAACUCUGAAAGAGAAAGUCCUUUUGAUUUCCAUUUGACUGCUUUCUAUGAGCCCACGCCUCAUCUUCCCCUGUGCACAUGUUUACCUGAUACAGCAGUGCUGCGUGUUGUACAUACUUGGAACCACAAACUAGAAAUACUGUACUUCUGUACCAACAUUGCCUCCUAGCAGAGAAGUGUGUGUGUGACAAGCCAGUUCUCCAGGCAUAACCUAGGUGUGAGACUAAAAGCUUUCCUUAUUGACUUAAUUUGGAUAACGGCAAGGUGAGGGUUGGUGGGUAUGGUGUGUGCUUGGAUGGGGAAGAAAAGCUCCACUGACCUGUAGGAGAUUGUUUUUUAAGUGAAAUCCUAUUAAACUCAAAACAGUUAUGAAAAGCAAGGUGAAGAACACAAAGCUGUUUCUGUAUUCCUUUUAUUCCGAAGGACCUACGUACGUCUUAGGUCUAUCUGGAUGUAAGGGUGAAAAUUCACUUGAUGGAAAUACUUGUGUAUAUUUAAAGACCCAACUGCUCCUCUGGAGCUUGUACGUUCAAGAAUGAUUAAUCUGUGUAAUAAACUGAUUACUACAGUCA
rnacentral:lncRNA from 1 species